rnacentral:rRNA from 1 species
UACAGAGGUCUCAAGCGUUGUUCGGAUUCAUUGGGCGUACAGGGUGCGUAGGCGGCGCGGUAAGUCGGGUGUGAAAUCUCGGAGCUUAACUCCGAAACUGCAUUCGAUACUGCCGUGCUUGAGGACUGGAGAGGAGACUGGAAUUUACGGUGUAGCGGUGAAAUGCGUAGAUAUCGUAAGGAAGACCAGUGGCGAAGGCGGGUCUCUGGACAGUUCCUGACGCUGAGGCACGAAGGUCAGGGGAGCAAACGGG